ensembl:lncRNA
UGCAGAUUGAAAAGAGCCCGGAGCAGCAUAUAGACUGGGAUUCACCCUGAACCAUGUUUAGGCAGCGUCUUUAUUUACAAUAUUCUGAAAAGUGAAAACAUACCUCUGUGUGUGGGGGGAGCACAACAGCACAACAGUAGCACAGGACCGGAGACAUUGUUAUAAUAGAUUAAUACUCUACGAAUGAUAGAGGACCAGACAACAGCCUCUUCAGUUCAACAGGAAGUCAAUUUAACAGCAUCAUCAGUAACAUCCAACUUAAAUAAACCACAGAACAAUCAAUCAAUCAAUAACGGAAACGCCUCUCCUUGUUCACAGUAAACACAGAGGGUCAUCUAACCCUCUGGUCAUCACCCCCCUCCCUCCCUAACCUCUGACCCCUAAUACCUGACUGUCUGGUCAAGAGGUGUGUCCAGAACAUUCUGACCUGAUCCAUGGGGGUCUCAACCUUCCCUUGUAGCAACAUUUAACUGUUAAGUCACAUUGUAAAUUUCAUAGUAACAUUUAUGUAUUGAUGUAACUUCAUGGUACCACUGUGUCCCUUCAGUUCCAUUGAAGCAUAGAAUAACUCCGUUACACUGCACACAUCUAAAAACACACAAAACAACCCCAGUGAAACCCAUAGAAUAACUCCCUGUUACACUGCACACAUCUAAAAACACACAAAACAACCCCAGUGAAACCCAGUCUGCUUCUGAAAUGGCACCCUACCAGGGUCCGUAGGGCCACCGCCAUAGGGCUCUGGUUAAAAGUAGUGCACUAUAUAGGGAAUACGCCAUUUCAGAAGCAGUCCUAGUUGACCUAUACACUACUACCCUAGGCUGCUAUAGACACAAUCACAAGGUCAAACACGUUUUUACUAAUAAAAUACACAUCAAAUAGCUGCUAUUCAGGUAAAGAACAACAUGAGCUGAUAAUAAUAACAUCAUAGAGCUGCUAUUCAGGUAAAGAACAACAUGAGCUGAUAAUAAUAUAGAGCUGCUAUUCAUGUAGAGUACAACAUAGGCUGUAUUGACUAAACAUGAUAAUUUAGAAUCUUUACAGUAAGUUAACAAAAACGAUGGAGAGACGCACUCUUCCCUUCAGUAACAGAAAUAUUUGCCCCCCUCCUCCGGACCCUAUUCCCC